rnacentral:rRNA from 1 species
UGAGACAUGCAAUCGAACGGACGAUCGGUGUCGCUCUGAUCGUUAGUGGCGGACGGCUGAGUAACGCGUAUGUGACCUGCCCCGAAGUGGGGAAUAACUGCCCGAAAUGGUGGCUAAUACCGCAUGUGGUGGCGUGUCAAUCGCGCCAGUGAAGCCGCAAUGCGCUUCGGGAGGGGCCUGCGUCCGAUUAGCUCGUUGGUGGGGUAACGGCUCACCAAGGCGACGAUCGGUAGGUGGUCUGAGAGGACGAUCACCCCAGACUGGGACUGAGACACGCCCCAGACUCCUACGGGAGGCAGCAGUCGGGAAUUUUGCGCAAUGGGCGAAAGCCUGACGCAGCAACGCCGCGUGAGGGAUGAAGGCCUUCGGGUUGUAAACCUCUUUUCUCAGGGACGAUGAUGACGGUACCUGAGGAAUAAGCCACGGCUAACUACGUGCCAGCAGCCGCGGUAAUACGUAGGUGGCAAGCGUUGUCCGGAUUUACUGGGCGUAAAGAGCGCGCAGGCGGUCGUUCAAGUCGCGUGUGAAAGCCCCCGGCUCAACUGGGGAGGGUCACGCGAUACUGAUCGACUCGAAGGCAGGAGAGGGAAGUGGAAUUCCCGGUGUAGUGGUGAAAUGCGUAGAUAUCGGGAGGAACACCAGUGGCGAAGGCGACUUCCUGGCCUGUUCUUGACGCUGAGGAGCGAAAGCGUGGGUAGCAAACAGGAUUAGAUACCCUGGUAGUCCACGCCGUAAACGUUGGGCACUAGGUGUGGGUCUCAACCAACGAGAUCCGCGCCGUCGCUAACGCAUUAAGUGCCCCGCCUGGGGAGUACGGCGGCAACGCUAAAACUCAAAGGAAUUGACGGGGGCCCGCACAAGCAGCGGAGCGUGUUGCUUAAUUCGAUGCAACGCGAAGAACCUUACCUGGGUUUGACAUGCUCGGAAAAGCCGUAGAGAUACGGUGUCCUUCGGGGCCGAGCACAGGUGGUGCAUGGCUGUCGUCAGCUCGUGUCGUGAGAUGUUGGGUUAAGUCCCGCAACGAGCGCAACCCUUAUUCUAUGUUGCCAGCACGUAAUGGUGGGGACUCGUAGGAGACUGCCGGGGUCAACUCGGAGGAAGGUGGGGACGACGUCAAGUCAUCAUGCCCCUUAUAUCCAGGGCUGCAAACACGCUACAAUGGCCGGUACAAAGGGCUGCAAGCUCGUGAGAGUAAGCGAAUCCCAUAAAGCCGGUCUCAGUUCGGAUUGAAGGCUGCAACUCGCAUUCAUGAAGCUGGAGUUGCUAGUAAUCCCGGAUCAGCACGCACGGGGUGAAUACGUUCCCAGGGCAUUGUACUCACC